GUGGGUGCGAGGGCACGUGUCCUUGCCGCUGUGCAGCGGGAAGCGCCCGGCUCUGUUGGCUGAUGGGUUGCUGCGGCAUCCGCAUGAAUGGAGCAGAGCGCUGCGGGUCGGAGCGCUGGCUCUGUGGCGGCGUUACAACUUAGGAGCGCUGUGCGCCAGGGAGAGCAUCCCGCCUGGCCCCUCACAGCUCAUAGCAAGUGUGGGGACUGCUGCCUUGGGGGAGAAAUCCAGCUCUCCUGCGGAUUUCUCAAGAUUCCUUUUUUUUUUUUUUUUCUCUCUCCUACUCAGCUUUCCUAAGAUGCAAAACAGUUGCAUUGCUGAUAGUGCAAACACUCAGGGUUUACUUGUCUUUGCAGCUGACCUCUGAGCCUUAAAGAUGAACGGGAAUCCCAUUCCCGGGCUUUUGUCCACAACCACAGUAAAAUUGUGAAGAAACAAAAGCCCUGUAGGUUGGACACUGUGGCAGAGGUCUAAAGUCCUAUGAGCCGCCAGAAUGGUUAAGGAGAUGCAGCUUAAGAACUGGAUGAAAGCUUCAGGAAAACCACAUCUUACCAAAGCCUUGUGUGAGAAACAACAGAUACAUCAAAGGCCAUCUUGACUACCAAAUUUAACAUCCAUGCAAGCAAGAGAGUCGUUAUGCACCCACUCCCUGCUUGGCUCUGUUUGCUGUCUUUCCCUUCUCACCAAGUUAAACUUUAAGAGGAGAAAGGAGUCAGCACCUUGUGAGUGUUCCCAGCAGACACUGCACCUGACUCAGGCUUGUAGUGAUAGCACUUACAUCACCCAUAUGUAAAAUUGUUCCAGCAAGGAACUGGCUGAAUGGUUCGGGCAACUAGCCACUUACUGCAUGCAGUCAUCUGGAGGCCAAAUAAGCCAUGCCCCAGACGUGGAAGGCUGCAGGAAGAAAAGUGAGGGGCUGGGAGUGCAGCGAGAGGACAGAAAAGCAGCAUUCGUGAAGCCCCUCAAAAGAACGGGCCCGACCGCACAAGCGGGUUGGUGAUGGGCUUCUCCUCGCCCAGAGCAGCAAACCCCUGCAGAGCUCAAAACCGGCAGGAAGGCGGCUUUGGGUUCUCCUUAGGGAUGCGCACCAGACGCUGCUUGCUACGGCUCUGGCGGAGAGCCCCACACCCGCGGAUAGCGCACCGCACCCCGCCCACACGCGCGGUGUCCCGCUGCCAGCGCGCGGCGGCCCGAGCUCCCCUCGGCCCUCCCUCCGGGGGCGGCACGGGGGCGGCGGGC